rnacentral:rRNA from 1 species
AGUGGAUUAGUGGCGGACGGGUGAGUAACGCGUGAGUAACCUGCCUUAGAGAAGGGGAUAGCCUUUGGAAACGAAGAAUAAUACCCUAUGACAUGAUAGCCUCGCAUGAGAUUAUCAUCAAAGAUUUAUCGCUCUAAGAUGGACUUGCGUCUGAUUAGUUAGUUGGUGGGGUAACGGCCCACCAAGACAGCGAUCACGUAGCCGGCUUGAGAGAGUGUACGGCCACAUUGGGACUGAGACACGGCCCAGACUCCUACGGGAGGCAGCAGUGGGGAAUUUUGCACAAUGGGGGAAACCCUGAUGCAGCGACGCCGCGUGAUUUAGAAGGCCUUCGGGUUGUAAAAAUCUUUUCUAUGGGAAGAACAUGACAGUACCAUAGGAAUAAGGACCGGCUAAUUACGUGCCAGCAGCCGCGGUAAUACGUAAGGUCCGAGCGUUGUCCGGAAUCAUUGGGCGUAAAGGGUACGUAGGCGGGUAAGCAAGUUAGAAGUGAAAUCCUAUAGCUCAACUAUAGUAAGCUUUUAAAACUGCUCAUCUUGAGGUAUGGAAGGGAAAGUGGAAUUCCUAGUGUAGCGGUGAAAUGCGCAGAUAUUAGGAGGAAUACCGGUGGCGAAGGCGACUUUCUGGCCAUAACCUGACGCUGAGGUACGAAAGCGUGGGUAGCAAACAGGAUUAGAUACCCUGGUAGUCCACGCCGUAAACGAUGAGUGUUAGGUGUCUGGAGUAAAUCUGGGUGCCGCAGCUAACGCAUUAAACACUCCGCCUGGGGAGUACGUGCGCAAGCAUG